rnacentral:rRNA from 1 species
UGUAGACCAGUAUGAAAGGCUACAUGAGAGUCGAGACUGUCUCUUGUAAUGAAUCUAUUAAACUGAUCUUCUAGUUCAAAAGCUAGAAUAAUCAUAUAAGACCAGAAGACCCUGUGAAGCUUAAACUAACCUUCUAAAACGACUAGAAACUACUUUCAGUUGGGGCGACUAUGGAACAAAACAAAACUUCCAACAUAAUUAAACACGACACAGGCACACAAGCCUAUAUACGACCCAGUCUUACUGACUAACGAAACAAGUUACUCCAGGGAUAACAGCGCUAUCUUCUUCAAGAGCCCAUAUCAAAAAGAAGGUUUACGACCUCGAUGUUGGAUCAGGACACCCAAAUGGUGCAGCAGCUAUUAAAGGUUCGUUUGUUCAACGAUUAACAGU